AUUGAACGCUGGCGGCAGGCCUAACACAUGCAAGUCGAACGAGUGGCGGACGGGUGAGUAAUGUCUGGGAAACUGCCUGAUGGAGGGGGAUAACUACUGGAAACGGUAGCUAAUACCGCAUACCAUCGGAUGUGCCCAGAUGGGAUUAGCUAGUAGGUGGGGUAAAGGCUCACCUAGGCGACGAUCCCGAGCUGGUCUGAGAGGAUGACCAGCCAUACUGUAACUGAGACACGGUCCAGACUCCUACGGGAGGCAGCAGUGGGGAAUAUUGCACAAGGGGCGCAAGCCUGAUGCAGCCAUGCCGCGUGUAUGAAGAAGGCCUUCGGGUUGUAAAGUACUUUCAGCGGGGAGGCGUUACCCGCAGAAGAAGCACCGGCUAACUCCGUGCCAGCAGCCGCGGUAAUUC
rnacentral:rRNA from 1 species